GGAUCCAGACUUUGAUCCUGGCUCAGGAUGAACGCUAGCGACAGGCCUAACACAUGCAAGUCGAGGGGCAGCGGAGAGGUAGCAAUACCUUUGCCGGCGACCGGCGCACGGGUGAGUAACACGUAUGCAAUCCACCUGUAACAGGGGGAUAACCCGGAGAAAUCCGGACUAAUACCCCAUAAUGUGGGCGCUCCGCAUGGAGAGUCCAUUAAAGAGAGCAAUCUUGGUUACAGACGAGCAUGCGCUCCAUUAGCCAGUUGGCGGGGUAACGGCCCACCAAGGCGACGAUGGAUAGGGGUUCUGAGAGGAAGGUCCCCCACAUUGGAACUGAGACACGGUCCAAACUCCUACGGGAGGCAGCAGUGAGGAAUAUUGGUCAAUGGUCGGCAGACUGAACCAGCCAAGUCGCGUGAGGGAAGACGGCCCUACGGGUUGUAAACCUCUUUUGUCGGAGAGUAAAGUGCGCUACGCGUAGCGUAUUGCAAGUAUCCGAAGAAAAAGCAUCGGCUAACUCCGUGCCAGCAGCCGCGGUAAUACGGAGGAUGCGAGCGUUAUCCGGAUUCAUUGGGUUUAAAGGGUGCGUAGGCGGCACGCCAAGUCAGCGGUGAAAUUUCCGGGCUCAACCCGGACUGUGCCGUUGAAACUGGCGAGCUAGAGUGCACAAGAGGCAGGCGGAAUGCGUGGUGUAGCGGUGAAAUGCAUAGAUAUCACGCAGAACCCCGAUUGCGAAGGCAGCCUGCUAGGGUGCGACAGACGCUGAGGCACGAAAGCGUGGGUGUCGAACAGGAUUAGAUACCCUGGUAGUCCACGCAGUAAAUGAUGAAUACUAACUGUUUGCGAUACAAUGUAAGCGGUACAGCGAAAGCGUUAAGUAUUCCACCUGGGGAGUACGCCGGCAACGGUGCAACUCAAAUGAAUUGACGG
rnacentral:rRNA from 1 species